AGACGUCUACAUUAGAUACCCCGGUAGUCCCAGCCGUAAACUAUGCGCGUUAGGUGUAUCGGUGACCACGAGUCACCGAGGUGCCGAAGGGAAACCGUGAAACGUGCCGCCUGGGGAAAGUACGGUCGCAAGGCUGAAACUUAAAGGAAUUGGCGGGGAGCACCACAACGGGUGGAGCCUGCGGUUUAAUUGGACUCAACGCCGGGAAGCUCACCGGAUAAGACAGCGGAAUGAUUGCCGGGCUGAAGACUCUGCAUGACUAGCUG
rnacentral:rRNA from 1 species